UGCUGCACCUGCUGGUAAUCACGCACCUGUUCCUGAUCAGCCAUCCCUACCUCUUAAGGAGAGACCAGACUUCCAUUCCCUGCUGGAUUGUUAAAUCACGUACUAUCACCUGCUCUGCCUGCCUGCCAGUUCCAAGUUCCUCAAAGCCAAGAUCCAAACUUUCCAGCCAGCCACGCCAGCCAUGCCAGCCCUCACGCUCCACUGCUUGGAAAGAGACUCCCUGCCACCUCACCCUGCCUCGUUUGGUCACCCUGCCUCAGUCAAUAAACUGUUUAACUGCUG